GAGCUGUGAGGAUAACUGCGCCUGCGAUGGUAGGGUCUAUCGCUCCUCUCUGAUCUUAGGAUGAGACAAUGCGCAUCUGAGCUC
rnacentral:snoRNA from 1 species